rnacentral:rRNA from 1 species
AUUGAACGCUGGCGGCAGGCCUAACACAUGCAAGUCGAACGAGUGGCGGACGGGUGAGUAAUGUCUGGGAAACUGCCUGAUGGAGGGGGAUAACUACUGGAAACGGUAGCUAAUACCGCAUACCAUCAGAGGUGCCCAGAUGGGAUUAGCUAGUUGGUGGGGGAACGGCUCCCCAAGGCGACGAGCCCUAGCUGUUCUGCGAGGAUGACCACCCUCACUGGAACUGUGACACGGUCCAGCCUCCUACGGGAGGCAGCAGUGGGGAAUAUUGCACAAUGGGCGCAAUCCUGAUGCCGCCCUGCCGCGUGUAUGAAUAAGGCCUUCGGGUUGUAGAGUACUUUCAGCUGGGAGGCGUUACCCGCAGAAGAAGCACCGGCUAACUCCGUGCCAGCAGCCGCGGUAAUUC